GAUCAUUGGACAAGCACAAAGGCCAGGAGAAGAGAGACACAUGAGUGGAAGGAGAGAAUUGAGAAAGCUAUUAUCAGCUGCCUCUUACCAGGAGGAGAAUAAGCUCUUACAUUCUGCUGAAUGAAAGAAUAUUGCAGACUGGAAAGAUGAGAAAAGGGGAACUGAAUUAGGAAACAGAACCUCUAAUUGCCUUGCAACACACUGUGACUUCCUACUCCUGCUGCCAGCCCUGACACCCUGCACACACAAAUCCCCUCCCACUGAAACACCCUUAAGUGGAGAAGUCACUUACACAAAGACCUCAAGGAACUACAGCUCCUCAGCCUCCCAGUUCUUCCACCCUCAAAGGAGAUGCAGCAGGUCUGUUUCCACAUAUAAAAUGCAAAGCUGUAUUGCUACCAAACUGUAUCCUGUCACAGAGAAAGCUAUUUUUCAGAGUUUCUCCUUGAAAACAAAGAUUGUCAGUUAAGGCCAACAGAAAGGAGCACCAUCAAAUGAUGAAAGAAGGGAAAAGUCUUAACAGCAUGUCCCCAGACCACCUCUUUCACUCUGUGAUAACUUUCAGAGAAAAGAAAGAGAUUGCCUUCCCUCCAUCAUCUCAGAUGGAAGAAAGCAGAGCAGUCACCGUGAUGUGCUGCCCCAUCCUCGGACGAACUGAUCACCCAGGAGAAGGCGCUCUGUCCAUUUUUUAAGAAGAUGAAGUUUUCCAUUGCUCCACCACGGAGGUUCUUUUUGUGUCUCAUUAUUUCAGACCCUUUCCACUUCAUUAUAAAAACACCAUUUGCUAGACUGAAGGUAAGCAGCACAAUAGCACUUCAAGGCUGCACAAAUUAAUCAAUACAGCCUCUGCAGCUGAAGCAGAAGGCCAUCACACCAGGGAGGUCUCAUUUCAAGAUGCUCUCCACCCUCCUAAUUAAGCACUGUAUAACUCAUC
ensembl:lncRNA